rnacentral:precursor_RNA from 1 species
AGAUGGAAGGAAUGUUGCUUGGUCUAGAGGUAGCAAAUUGCUUGCAUCGCUGCCUCCUCUGGACCAGGCUUCAUUCCUUUCAACCC